rnacentral:rRNA from 1 species
AUUGAACGCUGGCGGCAGGCUUAACACAUGCAAGUCGAGCGGGGGAAGGUAGCUUGCUACCGGACCUAGCGGCGGACGGGUGAGUAAUGCUCAGGAAUCUGCCUAUUAGUGGGGGACAACAUCUCGAAAGGGAUGCUAAUACCGCAUACGUCCUACGGGAGAAAGCAGGGGAUCUUCGGACCUUGCGCUAAUAGAUGAGCCUAAGUCGGAUUAGCUAGUUGGUGGGGUAAAGGCCUACCAAGGCGACGAUCUGUAGCGGGUCUGAGAGGAUGAUCCGCCAAACUGGGACUGAGACACGGCCCAGACUCCUACGGGAGGCAGCAGUGGGGAAUAUUGGACAAUGGGGGGAACCCUGAUCCAGCCAUGCCGCGUGUGUGAAGAAGGCCUUAUGGUUGUAAAGCACUUUAAGCGAGGAGGAGGCUACUCUAGUUAAUACCUAGGGAUAGUGGACGUUACUCGCAGAAUAAGCACCGGCUAACUCUGUGCCAGCCGCCGCGGUAA